rnacentral:tRNA from 1 species
GCCAGAGUGGCUCAGUGGUUGAGUGUCUGCCUUUGGCUCAGGACGUGAUCCCAGGAUUUGGGAUCAAGUCCCACAUCAGGCU